rnacentral:rRNA from 1 species
UUUUCCUACGGGGCGCAGCAGUAGGGAAUCUUCCACAAUGGGCGAAAGCCUGAUGGAGCAACGCCGCGUGGGUGAAGAAGGUCUUCGGAUCGUAAAACCCUGUUGUUAGAGAAGAAAGUGCGUGAGAGUAACUGUUCACGUUUCGACGGUAUCUAACCAGAAAGCCACGGCUAACUACGUGCCAGCAGCCGCGGUAAUACGUAGGUGGCAAGCGUUAUCCGGAUUUAUUGGGCGUAAAGGGAACGCAGGCGGUCUUUUAAGUAUGAUGUGAAAGCGUUCGGGUUAACCGGAGGAGGG